AACGAACGCUGGCGGCAUGCCUAACACAUGCAAGUCGAACGAGACCUUCUGGUCUAGUGGCGCACGUGUGCGUAACGCGUUGGAACCUGCCCUUAGGUUCGGAAUAACUCCCCGACAGGGGUUCUAAUUCCGGAUAAUGUCUUCGGACUAAGGAUUUAUCGCCUUUGGAUGGGCCCGCGUUGGAUUAGCUAGUUGGUAGGGUAAAAGCCUACCAAGGCGACGAUCCAGAGCUGGUCUGAGAGGAUGAUCAGCCACACUGGGACUGAGACACGGCCCAGGCUCCUACGGGAGGAAGAAGUGGGGAAUAUUGGACAAUGGGCGAAAGCCUGAUCCAGCAAUGCCGCGUGAGUGAUGAAGGCCUUAGGGUUGUAAAGCUCUUUUACCCGGGAGGAUAAUGACAGUACCGGGAGAAUAAGCUCCGGCUAACUACGUG
rnacentral:rRNA from 1 species